rnacentral:rRNA from 1 species
UACGUGAGGGGCGAACGUUGUUCGGUGUCACUGGGCUUAAAGGGUGCGUAGGUGGUUGCGUAAGUAACGUGUGAAAUCCCUCGGCUUACCCGGGGAAUUGCAUGUUAUACUGCGUGACUUGAGGGCUAAAGGGGAAAAGGGAACUCCAGGUGUAGCGGUGAAAUGCGCAGAUAUCUGGGGGAAGGCCGGCGGCGAAGGCGCUUUUCUGGUUAGUACCUGACACUGAGGCACGAAAGCGUGGGGAGCAAACAGG